rnacentral:rRNA from 1 species
AGUCGAACGAGAUCUUCGGAUCUAGUGGCAGACGGGUGAGUAACGCGUGGGAACCUGCCCAGUAGUAGAGAAUAACUUGGGGAAACUUAAGCUAAUACUUUAUACGUCCUUCGGGAGAAAGCUUUAUGCGCUAUUGGAUGGGCCCGCGUUAGAUUAGUUUGUUGGUGAGGUAACGGCUCACCAAGGCGACGAUCUAUAGCUGGUCUGAGAGGAUGAUCAGCCACACUGGGACUGAGACACGGCCCAGACUCCUACGGGAGGCAGCAGUGGGGAAUAUUGGACAAUGGGGGCAACCCUGAUCCAGCGAUGCCGCGUGAGUGAUGAAGGCCCUAGGGUUGUAAAACUCUUUCGUCAGGGAAGAUAAUGACGGUACCUGAAGAAGAAGAUCCGGCUAACUCCGUGCCAGCAGCCGCGGUAAUACGGAGGGGUCUAGCGUUAUUCGGAAUUACUGGGCGUAAAGCGAGCGUAGGCGGAUUUGUAAGUUGGAGGUGAAAUCCCAGAGCUUAACUCUGGAACUGCCUUCAAAACUACAUUUCUUGAGUUUGGUAGAGGAGAGUGGAAUUCCUAGUGUAGAGGUGAAAUUCGUAGAUAUUAGGAGGAACACCAGUGGCGAAGGCGACUCUCUGGGCCAAUACUGACGCUGAGGUUCGAAAGCAUGGGUAGCGAACAGGAUUAGAUACCCUGGUAGUCCAUGCAGUAAACGAUGAGUGCUAGAUGUUGGGAAUUUAAAUUUCCAGUAUCGCAGUUAACGCGUUAA